rnacentral:rRNA from 1 species
GGACCUACGGGGGGCAGCAGUGGGGAAUAUUGCACAAUGGGGGGAACCCUGAUGCAGCGACGCCGCGUGAGUGGAGAAGUAUUUCGAUAUGUAAAGCCCUGUCAGAAGGGAAGAAGAAAGACGGUACCUGACCAAGAAGCCCCGGCUAACUACGUGCCAGCAGCCGCGGUCAUACGUAGGGGGCAAGCGUUAUCCGGAUUUACUGGGUGUAAAGGGAGCGUAGACGGCCGGGCCAGUCUGGAGUGAAAGGCAGGGGCCCAACCCCUGGGCUGCUCUGGAAACUGUCCGGCUGG